rnacentral:lncRNA from 10 species
AGGUCAUCAUGCAUUAGAUUCUCAUAAAUAGCAGCAAUCUAGAUCCCUCGCAUGCGCAGUUCACAAUAGCGUUCAUGCUUCUCUGAGAAUCUAAUGCUGCCUCUGAUCUGACAGGAGGUGGAGCUGAGGCAGUAAUGCGAGUGAUGGGGAGCAGCUGUAAAUACAGAUGAAGCUUGGCUCGCUUGCCUGCUGCUCAGCUCCUGCUGUGCGGGCUGGUUCCUAACGAGCAAGAAGAAACCUGGAGGACACUUUGGUUUCAUCAAGCAACACUUGCCACCAGGAAGGCGUUGAGUGCCAAUUCCACACCCAAUACCCCCAGGUGUCACCUUUCUGAUCCAAUGCUUGAUUGCUAGCUGGGCUGAACCAGAAGCAUCACGUCUAGUUAGUCUAGAUGUGGAUGCAAUUCAGUAAUCAUAAACAUUAGAGCUAGAAUAUUGUAGGUAAUUGAUGUAACCAAAUGAAGAACCAGAGACCCAGAGAUGAAAAGUUCCUUGCCCAGAUCUGCAAACUCACAUCCAGGUUGCUCCCUGCCUACCCUCAUCUCUUACAAGCCAGCAUCCUUUUACAGCAGACUGUGGGCCCCAAAGCACAGCUGUGGACAAGAGGGCACUGUACAUUCACCCCAAGGUCUCAAGGCCACCAGGGGCUUGGUCAGCGUUUGUGGUUGUGGCACUUCGCAUUUGCCUCUUUGAGGGCUCCCAAAAACCCACUUCCUGGCCGGGCAUGGUGGCUCACGCCUGUAAUCCCAGCACUUUGGGAGGCCAAGGCAGGCAGAUCACUUGAGGUCAGGAAUUCAAGACCAGCCUGGCCAACAUGGUGAAACCCCAUCUCUACCAAAAAUGCAAAAAUUAGCCAGGCAUGGUGGUGGGUUCCUGUAGUCCCAGCUACUCGAGAGGCUGAGGCAGGAGAAUCGCCUGAUCCCAGG